rnacentral:tRNA from 1 species
GGAGAGGUGGCAGAGUGGUCGAAUGCGGCAGACUUGAAAUCUGCUGAACUCGCAAGGGUUCCGUGGGUUCAAAUCCCACCCUCUCCG